rnacentral:rRNA from 1 species
UGGGGAAUCUUGCCCAAUGGGCGAAAGCCUGAGGCAGCAACGCCGCGUGUGGGAUGAAGGCCCUUGGGUUGUAAACCACUUUCAGCAGGGACGAAGAUGACGGUACCUGCAGAAGAAGCCCCGGCCAACUACGUGCCAGCAGCCGCGGUAAGACGUAGGGGGCAAGCGUUGUCCGGAUUUAUUGGGCGUAAAGAGCUCGUAGGCGGCUCAGGAAGUCGGGUGUGAAACCUCCAGGCUCAACCUGGAGACGCCACCUGAUACUGCUGUGGCUAGAGUCCGGUAGGGGAGCACGGAAUUCCCGGUGUAGCGGUGAAAUGCUUAGAUGUCGGGAGGAACACCAGUGGCGAAGGCGGUGCUCUGGGCCGGAACUGACGCUGAGGAGCGAAAGCGUGGGUAGCAAACAGG